CUACGGGGCGCACCAGUAGGGAAUAUUGCUUAAUGGGCGAAAGCCUGAAGCAGCAACGCCGCGUGUACGAUGAAGGCCUUCGGGUUGUAAAGUACUUUUUGCAGGGAUGAGGAAGGACAGUACCUGCAGAAUAAGCCUCGGCUAACUACGUGCCAGCAGCCGCGGUAAAACGUAGGAGGCGAGCGUUAUCCGGAUUUACUGGGCGUAAAGCGCGUGUAGGCGGAUUGGUAAGUUAGCUGUGAAAGCUCCCGGCUUAACUGGGAGAGGUCGGUUAAUACUGUCAGUCUAGAGUAUGUGAGAGGGAAGUGGAAUUCCGGGUGUAGUGGUGAAAUGCGUAGAUAUCCGGAGGAACACCAGAGGCGAAAGCGGCUUCCUGGCACAUAACUGACGCUCAGACGCGAAAGCUAGGGGAGCGAACGGGAUUAGAUACCCCCGUAGUC
rnacentral:rRNA from 1 species